rnacentral:rRNA from 1 species
UACGAAGGGGCUAGCGUUGCUCGGAAUCACUGGGCGUAAAGCGCACGUAGGCGGCUUUUUAAGUCAGGGGUGAAAUCCUGGAGCUCAACUCCAGAACUGCCUUUGAUACUGAGAGCUUGAGUCCGGGAGAGGUGAGUGGAACUGCGAGUGUAGAGGUGAAAUUCGUAGAUAUUCGCAAGAACACCAGUGGCGAAGGCGGCUCACUGGCCCGGUACUGACGCUGAGGUGCGAAAGCGUGGGGAGCAAACAGG